UUCCAGGUGGCGCAAUGGGUCAGUGCAUCUAGUUGUUAACCAGAAAGUUGGUGGCUCGAGGCCACCCAGGGAAG